AACUUACUCCCUCCGAUCCUAAAUUAUUGUCGAAAUAUUACAUGAAUCUAGACAUUUUUUAUAAAUAGAUACAUCCAAAUUUGUGCAAAUUUGAGACAAAAAUUUAGGAUCGGAGUGAGUACAAU
rfam:Brachypodium distachyon strain Bd21 chromosome 2, whole genome shotgun sequence.